UCAUCCACCUCCAUCUUCCCAAGAUUAUCAUCAUCCACCACCAUCCCAGGAUUAUCACCGUCCACCAUCUUCCCAAGAUUACCAUCCUCCACCACCUUCCCAAGAUUAUCAUUCUCCACCACCUUCCCAGGAGUACCAUCCUCCACCACCUUCCCAAGAUUAUCAACCUCCUCCACCUUCCCAAGAUUUCCAUCAUCCUCCACCUGCUAGAUCAGACAGUUCUUAUUCUGAGCCCUACAACCACCAGCAAUACUCACCAGAUCAGUCACAGAACUUAGGUCCUAAUUACCCUUCUCAUGAAACUCCCUCUUCUUACUCUCUUCCCCAUUUUCAAUCUUAUCCAAGUUU
rnacentral:lncRNA from 1 species